rnacentral:lncRNA from 1 species
CUUCAAUAAAAUAAUAUUACACGCAAAACCAAAAAUUUUCCUUAUUUUUUAAUCACACAUUUUUCAUCAAAAUACUAUUCCAAAAUGCAUGUUGGACAAAAAAUGAGGCUCAAACAGGCUCUAAAUGAUAACAAGGCUCAGCUUCCUCAUUUUAGUUGUAGGGUCGAAUAGCAUCAUUCUCCAUCAAAAUACUAUUCCAAAAUGCAUGUUGGACAAAAAAUGAGGCUCAAACAGGCUCUAAAUGAUAACAAAGCUCAGCUUCCUUAUUUUAGUUGUAGGGUCGAAUGGCAUCAUUCUCCUCCUAUUGGAAAAGAUCCACCCUCGAAUCUUGCACUAUGUUCUUAGGUCGACUUCAUUAUCUUGUAAUGGAAACAAAAUUAAAGUAUCAUCCAUCCAUUUUUUCAUCCAAAUUAUUUAGCAUCCAAAAAAAGAAAUCAAAGGAUUUUCUGCGCUAGUUGCAUCAUAUUUCUAUUAGGGAACACGGGACAAACUAAACUAUGAAUUUGAUGGCAAUGGAGUUUAAACAUUCCCAAAAUGAUGCACAGAGGACUCCUGCUCUCAUGAGAAGCUUUCUUGAAAUUGCUGCUAAUAUUUUGCAAAAUUACAAUAAGAAUCAUUUCUAAAGCAGCUUUGUACAACCUUAAAUCAAGAUUAUUUCCAGCAAUGAGCAAUAGUCAAUUCUUGAAGUUCCAUAAUUGAUUGUUGGUAAUUGAAUGCACAGAGAACUGGCUAGGAAUUUCUAUUAUGUAUCUUGAAAAAUUCGAAGUCAGUUUCCUCAUUGAAAAUUGGUGGACCAUCAUAACUGUCAUUAUUCAAAUCCACAAA